rnacentral:rRNA from 1 species
UACGUAGGGUCCGAGCGUUGUCCGGAAUUAUUGGGCGUAAAGGGCUCGUAGGCGGUUCGUCACGUCGGGAGUGAAAACUCGGAGCUCAACUCCGAGCCCUGCUUCCGAUACGGGCAGACUAGAGGUAGGCAGGGGAGAGCGGAACUCCUGGUGUAGCGGUGGAAUGCGCAGAUAUCAGGAAGAACACCGGUGGCGGAAGGCGGCUCUCUGGGCCUUACCUGACGCUGAGGAGCAAAAGCGUGGGUAGCGAACAGG